UUCGUGGUUGUUUUUCCCACGCAAUAUUUCUCUCCAUUCUUUAAGAUAUUUAUGAAGUUAUUAUCUGGUUUCAGUUGAACACGUGACUAAUAAUUUCCUUAUUUGAGUUUAAAAUCAAACAUAGGGGACAAUCGUUUAGAAUCCUGUCAUAAGUUUAUUCAAUAUACCGACUAUAGUUAAAGGAGGAAGAAGAUUGCUACAUCUUGAUAUAAUAUCCGCUGUUAAUAAUAUUUCACCAACUUCCCCUUGUGGUUGAUCAAGACAUACAGUCGUUUAACAGAGAGAACAGGAUUUAUAAAAGGACGGAAGACAGAAAUUGAAUGAAAGAUGUUGAAGAUACCUUAUUCAAGAGAAAUGGCCUGUGUUACUACUGUAAUAGCCUUCGUCUUUCAGCUAUUAGCUGUAUGGACGCCUCACUGGAUCCAUACUCAUGAGGGUCAGGUUUUAACCAAUUAUAGUGGUUUAUGGGAGACGUGUGAUAUAUAUUAUAAUAAAGACAACAUUAGUUGCUUCACGUGUAAAUAUAUUCACAUAGAUCAACACAAAACACAAGAUGUAUUUAUGAUACAUGUUCAGUUAUUAGCCGUGAGUGCGCUAAUAGUGAUGGGCGUGGUGUUACUGUUACGGCUAGCCAUUCUCUGUUCGUGUUUAGAUAUAUGGAGUUAUUGUAUCCGGGUGAUGAUUAUUGUAACGACCAUAUUAUCAGGGCUGUUAUCGUUAUCCAGUGCCAUCUUGUAUGCAGCAGCUCUAUGCCCUACAUCAGAUGUUAAACAUUCCAUUACAACUAUAAAAGGCUGGUCAUUUGGUUUGGAGAUUAUUGCCAGUAUUCUCUGUGUUCCAGCUGUUACUAUUACUCUAAGAGAAUUUGACAGAUCUGCUUAUCAGCCUAUAAACAAUAAAUACCAGUGACAUGUGUACGAUUUCUAAAAUUAAGGGGUUGAGGGCACCCAAAUGCUUAAAAACUUGACAUUGAAUGAAAUGCGGGUGCAUAAAUAUCUUCAAAGCAGCAGUAUCAUCAUCUGGCACCAUAACCCAACACAUUUCGACAGCUAAAACCAAAGUCGGAGGAGGGACUUAACCCAAAUCCCAAACACCAAAUACGUCUGUAGUAAAUUCAAUCAAGAAUAUAUACUUGUUGUCCUUGAUUGUGUUCUACAACCAUGACCAGCCAACAUAACAACCAUUGUAAAACUAAACUAACAUGGUGUGUACAUAGUAUACUCUUUGUGGUGUUUCGUCUGAUAUCUGCUGCUAGCUUUAUACAUUGCUGUUAACGUCACCAUUUUGGGGCCUAUGUCGUGUAAAAUCGCAAGCCUAAGUAUUAAACUAAGACCGGAGACUGUUACCUAA